CUAAUAUGUCACUUUAUGAAAGAAUCAUACAUUGUUAAUGAAGAGUUUCAAUGAGCUGAUACAAAAUGUAAAAAAACGUGAUAAUGUCCUUAAAAUGGAAAAUCAUGGGGGUAAGGGUGGGGGGUUGCCAUCACAUCUAGGCAGCUCCAACUGCUGAUAAAAUGUUGUGAAAUCCACUGCAUAUGUCUGAUUAACAAAGAAAUAUUUAUAAAUAUAAAAAAAUCAAAACUAUUGGAAAAAAAGGUACAUUCAAUAAUUACAUUGUAAAUAAUGGAAAGUAAACAGUGCAAUAAAUGAAGAAAAAAUGUUCAAUUUUAAUUAAACAUCAGUGCACUCAGGCACACAGGCAGAGGUACAAUGCAACUGAAAUGUGUUGUACAAACACAAACAUUAAUGUGGGUGGAUUAAGAUGGCGUGGUACUAAUUAAAAUUCCACAGCAGCCACUGAACGUGGCUUUGACAGUGGUGGAAAUAGUACACAGAUCUUUCAUUUAAGUAGAAGUAGAAAUACUCCAGUGUAGAAAUACAAUAUUAAGUGCCUCAUAUACUGCUGGGUAGCUUUUGAACUUCCCAUGGAUUGGACAUUAAAGUCUUUAUCCUUUAAAAUAUAAUGGUUUGAUUUAUUAGUUGUAUUUUGUGUUAUUAAUCUGGAUUUGUAAAGUAAUCUGAGAUGUGAAGUAAAUGUAACAGAGCAAUAUUUGUUCAGUACUUGAAUAAAGGUACUCAGCUCUUGGUCUUAAUUUUUUUUUAAUGUUCUCCUAUGGCAAUAACAUCGAUUCUAUUAUAUUCUUUUAUAUGGGAAAUCAUGAAUUUAAGAGUUUAAAUAAAGGACUAAAUCCCAGUAGCUGAAGUGUCCCUGAGCAAGGCUUUUCAUCUCAGCUUCCCACCAGCCGUUGCAGCUGCUCCUCCAGUCCAGCAGGGGGCAGGCCAGGGAUCACCAGCCGGAAACGGUCCGCUGUGUUCAGUAAUCCAACAUGUCUGCGCCCUGAAGGAUGCUGCGAACAGCGUGAGGGGACAGGACAAGAGGCAGGUUUCUUCAACGUGGCAAACAUCUCACUCCGCUGCUGAUCCACACUGCAAACACCUCGGGGAAAGUGACUCUCCCUAAACCAAUCGAAGGCAAAGAUUUUUUUAAUUACCUGCCUGCUGCAAAAUGGAAAGGCAAAGGUUUUGCUUGUUGGUAUCAGUAUCGACGGGAGUCCAUGAUGCUUUAAUGAGCCUGGUGUGUAAGUGAUUUGUUGAGAAUGCUUGAAAUGCUCAUUUGU
rnacentral:lncRNA from 1 species